AAAACAAAAUCUUCUUGUCUACAAAUUCGUAACUUGAAGGGCGAACAUUUAAACAGGGCGAGUUGUCCCGAUACCAAAUUCACGCAUGCGUACUUCAAAUAUCUACAGUAAAAACAUCCGGUUACAAGUAAACAGAUAACGUUCAUGUAGAUGAGAUGAAAUCUAAUAAUUAACAUAAAUAAAAGGGUACAUAUUUACGAUAGUGAUUGUUUUUCAAUCCUAAUUUACAAAUUAAAUGAUUCAGAUGCUUAAUCAUGUGUAAAAAUCGGUGUCAGGAAUCAGAAGUUG
rnacentral:lncRNA from 1 species